CUAGAUGUAAAGGUGACAAGACUAGAUGUAAAGGUGACAGGACUAGAUGUAAAGGUAAACAGAUUAGAUGCAAAUGUCACAAGACUAGAUGUAAAGAUGAUGAGAGUCUAUGUAAAGGCAGCAAGACUAGAUGUAAAGAUAAGAGUAGAUGUGAAGAUGUUGAAACUAAAUGUGAAAGGGAUGAGACUAGAUGUAAAUAUGACAGGACUAGAUGUAAAGGUGACAGGACUAGAUGGAAACGUGACAAUAGUAGAUGUAAAUGUGACAAUAGUAGAUGUAAAGGUGGUGAGACUAGAUGAAAAGUCGACAGAACUAGAUGUAAACAUGCCAGUACUAGAUAUAAAGGUGACAGGACUAGAUGUAAAGGUGAUAAGACUAGAUGUAAAGGUGACAAGACUAGAUGUAAAGGUGACAAGACUAGAUGUAAAGGUGAUAAGACUAGAUGUAAAGGUGACAAGACUAGAUGUAAAGGUGACAAGACUAGAUGUAAAGGUGACAAGACUAGAUGUAAAGGUGACAAGACUAGAUGUAAAGGUGACAGGACUAGAUGUAAAGGUGUUGAGACUAGAUGUAAAGGUGUUGAGACUAGAUGUAAAGGUGACAAAACUAGAUGUAAUGGUGACAAGACUAGAUGUAAAGGUGACAAAACUAGAUGUAAUGGUGACAAGACUAGAUGUAAAGGUGAUAAGACUAGAUGUAAUGGUGACAAGACUAGAUGUAAAGGUGAUAAGACUAGAUGUAAAGGUGACAAGACUAGAUGUAAAGGUGACAAGACUAGAUGUAAAGGUGACAAGACUAGAUGUAAAGGUGACAAGACUAGAUGUAAAGGUGAUAAGACUAGAUGUAAAGGUGACAAGACUAG